rnacentral:rRNA from 1 species
CGAGUACGACCCGUUACGACGGGGAAGUGUCUGAUGUCAGGCUUCCAAGAAAAGCCCGAACCACGUUAAUUCAAAUUGACCCGUACCCUAAACCGACACAGGUGGGAAGGUAGAGUAUACCCAGGGGCGCGAGAUAACUCUCUCUAAGGAACUCGGCAAAAUGGCCCCGUAACUUCGGGAGAAGGGGUGCCACCGAGAGGUGGUCGCAGUGAAGAGUCCCAGGCGACUGUUUACCAAAAACACAGGUCUCCGCUAAGUCGCAAGACGAUGUAUGGGGGCUGACGCCUGCCCAGUGCCGGAAGGUUAAGGAAGUUGGUCAGGGAGCAAUCCUGAGGCUAGCGACUGAAGCCCCGGUGAACGGCGGCCGUAACUAUAACGGUCCUAAGGUAGCGAAAUUCCUUGUCGGGUAAGUUCCGACCCGCACGAAAGGCGUAACGAUCUGGGAGCUGUCUCGGAGAGAGGCUCGGCGAAAUAGGAAUGUCUGUGAAGAUACGGACUACCUGCACCCGGACAGAAAGACCCUAUGAAGCUUUACUGUAGCUUGGUAUUGGGUUCGGGCUUUGAUUGCGCAGUAUAGGUGGGAGACUAUGAGAUAGCUCUUGUGGGAGUUAUGGCUCACUGGUGAGAUACCACUCUAUCAAGGCUAGAAUUCUAACUUUGACCCGUUAUCCGGGCAGAGAACAGUAUCAGGUGGGCAGUUUGACUGGGGCGGUCGCCUCCUAAAUGGUAACGGAGGCGCGCAAAGGUUCCCUCAGGCUGGUUGGAAAUCAGCCAUUGAGUGUAAAGGCAUAAGGGAGCUUGACUGCGAGACUGACAAGUCGAGCAGGUACGAAAGUAGGCCUUAGUGAUCCGACGGUUCCGCGUGGAAGGGCCGUCGCUCAACGGAUAAAAGUUACUCUAGGAUAACAGGCUGAUCUCCCCCAAGAGUUCACAUCGACGGGGAGGUUUGGCACCUCGAUGUCGGCUCAUCGCAACCUGGGGCUGUAGUCGGUCCCAAGGGUUGGGCUGUUCGCCCAUUAAAGCGGUACGUGAGCUGGGUUCAGAACGUCGUGAGACAGUUCGGUCCAUAUCCGGUGCAGGCGUAGGAACAUUGAGAGGAGUCUUCCUUAGUACGAGAGGACCGGGAAGAACGCACCGCUGGUGUACCUGUUAUCGUGCCAACGGUAAACGCAGGGUAGCCAAGUGCGGACAGGAUAACCGCUGAAAGCAUCUAAGUGGGAAGCCCACCUCAAGAUGAGUGUUCCCAUGGCAAAAGCCAGUAAGGUCACGGGUAGACCACCCGUUAAUAGGCGCUAGAUGGAAGUCCAGCAAUGGAUGUAGUCGAGGCGUACUAACAGACCGAGGGC